UAUUGGACAAUGGGCGAAAGCCUGAUCCAGCAAUGCCGCGUGAGUGAUGAAGGCCUUAGGGUUGUAAAGCUCUUUUACCAGGGAUGAUAAUGACAGUACCUGGAGAAUAAGCUCCGGCUAACUCCGUGCCAGCAGCCGCGGUAAUACGGAGGGAGCUAGCGUUGUUCGGAAUUACUGGGCGUAAAGAGUACGUAGGCGGUGAUUCAAGUCAGAGGUGAAAGCCUGGAGCUCAACUCCAGAACUGCCUUUGAAACUAGAUCGCUAGAAUCAUGGAGAGGUUAGUGGAAUUCCGAGUGUAGAGGUGAAAUUCGUAGAUAUUCGGAAGAACACCAGUGGCGAAGGCGACUAACUGGACAUGUAUGACGCUGAGUACGAAA
rnacentral:rRNA from 1 species